AUGCAAACUGAUUGGGGCGGUGAAUAUGAAAAACCCAAUGCCUUCUUCCAAAAAGUUGGCAUUACACAUCAUGUGUCUUGUCCUCACGCCCAUCAACAAAAUGGUUCAGAUGAACGUAAACAUCGACACAUUUUUGAGGUUGGCCUUGCCUUACUUUCUCAUGCAUGCAUGCCUCUUAAAUUUUGGGAUGAAUCCUUUCUCACCGCCACAUAUCUCAUAAAUUUGCUCCCUACCAAGGUACUAAAGCACACGAGUCCUACUGAAGUACUACUCCAUGUCAAACCCAACUAUGAAUCUCUUUGUGUGUUUGGGUGUGCAUGUUGGCCAAACCUUCGCCCUUAUAGCAAACGGAAACUCUCGUUUCACUCCAAGCGAUGUGUUUUCUUAGGCUAUAGUCCUAGACAUAAAGGGGUCACAUGUCUUGAUAUAUCCAGCGGUCGUGUCUACAUCUCACGUGAUGUUGUGUUUGAUGAGAAUGUUUUUUCCCUUUGCUCUUCUUAA
rnacentral:rRNA from 1 species